rnacentral:miRNA from 1 species
GCUGGUAAAAUGGAACCAAAU